UACGUAUGGUGCAAGCGUUAUCCGGGUUUACUGGGUGUAAAGGGAGCGCAGGCGGCACGGCAAGCCUGAUGUGAAAGCCCGCGGCCCAACCGCGGGACUGCAUUGGGAACUACCGGGCUGGAGUGCCGGAGAGGUAGGCGGAAUUCCUAGUGUAGCGGUGAAAUGCGUAGAUAUUAGGAGGAACACCAGUGGCGAAGGCGGCCUACUGGACGGUGACUGACGCUGAGGCUCGAAAGCGUGGGGAGCAAACAGG
rnacentral:rRNA from 1 species